rnacentral:tRNA from 1 species
GCAGAUGUAGUUCAAUGGUAGAACGAGACCUUGCCGAGGUUUAGACGCGAGUUCGAUUCUCGUCAUCUGCU